rnacentral:misc_RNA from 1 species
GGCAGUCAGUCGGUACUCGGCAGUGCUUCAGUCGGGUUCAGGUUCUGUGCGUCGUAUUACUCGUGGUGUCCACUGUUCUCUGGUGUGCGUCAUUCGUUUCACGUAUAAAUAAAUAUAUAAUAAAAAAAUAUCCACGCGCGUAUAUAGACAUAAUAUUGUUUUGUACGAUCGUAAUUAUAUCAAACGCGUUAUUAACGUCGUUUUCUAGGCGCGGUUGCACGAAUAAUAUUAUUAUAACGAUUAUAAUACGUUAAUUUACAUUAAUAUUCGCAAGUCGGCAUCAAAGACAAGCCAGAGGAGAAGGUGACGAUGACGUGAUUCGCCGGAGGACAGUGGCCUGCACACACUAGACCGAUAUGGGGUACACCGGUGGUAACGCGACGGCCCAGGGCAAACCUGAAUACGAAGCCUUGGUAGGUCGGCAGGAGGCGGAGAUCCGCAUGCUAGAAGUGAUGCGCCGGUGUGUGACCAGCAAGCUCAAGUGCGAUCGUGAGUACGCUGCGUCACUGAGUGCCGUUUGCGCGCUCGGGUUCAAGUGUGGCGGCGGCUCCGGCGCGGGCGGUAGUGCAGUUGACGCAACACCCGGCAGCAGUCUAAUGGCUGGUGCCUGGAAGCGGUUGCUCGACGAACUAGAUGCAGCCAGUCGAGCUAUUCGGACCGUAUGCGACCGGGUCGAGAAGAACACAUUGGAUCGGAUCGCAGGCAUAUGCGCUGAGAAGCGGAAGGCGAAAAAAGCAUAUCAGGACGAAUACAAUAGGAUAUCGCUGCAAUACAACAACUUGGUCGACGAGUUAGCAAGGAAAAAAGCAGAUUACACCAAACACUUAGAAACCUAUCGUUCAAUGAGAUCAAGAUUUGAAGAACAUUUUUUCAAAAGCGGCCGAGGAGGAAGAAAAUUGGAUGAUGUUCGGGAAAAAUAUCAAAGGGCUUGUCGGCGAUUGCAUCUUGUACAUAAUGAAUACGUCCUAUUAAUUGCCGAAGCCCAAGAAUCAGAAAAAGACUUCCAGACAAUAAUGAUGCCAGCAUUUAUGCAACAUCAUAAACAAGAGCUGGAAAAUAUCAUAGCCGAUUGGAAAAACGCUUUAAUUGAAUUGGCCGUGCAGUGGAAUCCGGCGUCCGAAGAAUUCGUACAGAUCGGCUUGCGUAUGGAAUCAUGUACGGAUAUCAUACAACCGUGUGAAGAGUAUAACGACUAUACAAAAAAGACUGAACGAAAUGACGUCGAGAUCUCAUUCGACGACGCAUUAGUGCAAGGCGAUACGUCUGGACAUCUGCAAGCUAACCAGUUGGCAGUCGACAAUCUGACUAUGGACUGGGUGCGCAAUAAAAUGACUGAACUUGAAACCCGGCUGAAAGAAUGCCAAGAUGCUAUAGAAACCAGUGUAGAUAACAAGUCAGAAAAUAAUUCAGAACUACAAUUAAUUGAACUCAAAAGCGAAGAACAUAGACUACAAAAGCAAGUAGAUGUUAUAAAAAAAGCACUUUUUGAAAUUGGUUGUGAAGAAUUGCCUUCUGGAUGCGAUCUUCCGUCAUUAGAUAUAAACGAUAUUGACAUUACUGUUGAUGGUACUCUGAAAAGGCCUUCGUUAAGUAAUGUUAGUCAAGCCUCAUCCAUGAUGACUAUAGCUACUACAUUGGCUACGUCUAGCUUGGUAGACAUCUUGCGUAAACCAUUCCGUCGUAAGUCUGUACCAAAUUCAGGGAAUGGUAACCUUUCAAUGGAUUCAAAUUCAGUGCAAAAUAAUAAUAGUGCCAUUACUACAACUACACCCAGCUCAGGAGUAGGUCCACAAAAUAGUGAUAAUAGCAAUCACUAUCAUUCUGACAGUUUAGAUGGAAACGACGGAUCGGUUAUUGUUGAUAUGCGACCGAUAGUCACGCCUGUGCCAUUUGCUGACAACAAUUCUAACAACUUUUUGCCUAGUGUGGUUGGAUCUUCUGUGAAAUCAUUAAUAGAAGAAGAAUGGUUCCAUGGAGUGUUACCGAGAGAAGAAGUUGUUCGGCUUUUAACAAAAGAAGGUGACUUUUUAGUGAGAGAAACUACUAGGAACGAUGAAAAUCAGACGGUGUUAUCUGUAUGUUGGGGUGGUCACAAGCAUUUUAUUGUUCAAACCACUUCUGAGGGUGAGUUUCGUUUUGAAGGACCAUCAUUCCCUACCAUUCAAGAACUUAUUACAUAUCAAUAUCAAAGUGCAUUACCAGUCACUAGUCGCUCAGGAGCUAUACUUCGACAACCAAUUCCUAGAGAACGCUGGGAAUUAAACAAUGAUGAUGUUUUACUACUUGAAAAAAUAGGCAGAGGUAAUUUUGGUGAUGUUUAUAAAGCAAGACUGCGGUCUACUAACAAGGAAGCUGCGGUAAAAACAUGUCGUGUUACCGUACCAGAUGAACACAAAAAGAAAUUUCUGCAGGAAGGUCGUAUUUUGAAACAAUACGAUCACCCUAAUGUUGUUAAGCUUAUCGGUAUCUGUGUGCAAAAACAACCUAUUAUGAUAGUCAUGGAACUAGUCGCAGGAGGGUCGUUGUUAUCGUAUUUAAGAAAUAAUUCCAAGACCUUAUCUGUUCUCCAAUUGGUCUCAAUGUGUCGUGAUGCAGCCGCUGGCAUGAUGUACUUAGAGAGUAAGAACUGCAUUCACCGUGAUCUCGCAGCUCGAAACUGUUUAGUUGAGAAGAAGAAGAGUAUAUAGUAUCUGAUGGUAUGAAACAAAUUCCAAUUAAAUGGACAGCUCCCGAAGCUCUUAAUUUUGGUAAAUAUACUACAUUAUGUGACGUUUGGAGUUAUGGUGUACUAUGUUGGGAGAUAUUUGCCAAAGGAGGAACACCCUAUAGUGGUCUUAGUAAUUCAAAGGCCCGAGAAAAAAUUGAUACAG